ACGCUCGACACCUAGGAGGCAGCAGUAGGGAAUCUUCCACAAUGGACGCAAGUCUGAUGGAGCAACGCCGCGUGAGUGAAGAAGGUCUUCGGAUCGUAAAACUCUGUUGUUAGAGAAGAACACGAGUGAGAGUAACUGUUCAUUCGAUGACGGUAUCUAACCAGCAAGUCACGGCUAACUACGUGUCAGCAGCCGCGGUAAUCUGAGCGGGCUGGCAAGGC
rnacentral:rRNA from 1 species